rnacentral:rRNA from 1 species
AUUGAACGCUGGCGGAAUGCUUUACACAUGCAAGUCGAACGGUAGAGGGGGCAACCCCUCGAGAGUGGCGAACGGGUGAGUAAUAUAUCGGAACGUGCCCAGUCGUGGGGGAUAACGUAGCGAAAGUUACGCUAAUACCGCAUACGAUCUAAGGAUGAAAGCGGGGGAUCGCAAGACCUCGCGCGAUUGGAGCGGCCGAAAUCAGAUUAGGUAGUUGGUGGGGUAAAGGCUCACCAAGCCAACGAUCUGUAGCUGGUCUGAGAGGACGACCAGCCACACUGGAGCAGAGACACGGUCCAGACUCCUACGGGAGGCAGCAGUGGGGAAUUUUGGACAAUGGACGCAAGUCUGAUCCAGCCAUUCCGCGUGCAGGAUGAAGGCCCUCGGGUUGUAAACUGCUUUUGUACGGAACGAAAAGGUCUCUCUUAAUACGGGGGGCUCAUGACGGUACCGUAAGAAUAAGCACCGGCUAACUACGUGCCAGCCGCCGCCGUAA